rnacentral:rRNA from 1 species
AGUGAACGCUGGCGGUAGGCCUAACACAUGCAAGUCGAACGGCAGCACAUGUAUAGCUUGCUCUUACGGGUGGCGAGUGGUGGACGGGUGAGGAGUGCAUCGGAAUCUAUGUGUGCGUGGGUGAUUACGUAGGGAAACUUACGCUAAUACCGCAUAUGUCGUGCGGGUGAAAGCAGGGGAUCUUCGGUGCGUUUGUUCGUGAAUGAGUGGAUGUCGGAUUAGCUAGUUGGCGGGGUAAAGGCCCACCAAGGCGACGAUCCGUAGCUGGUCUGAGAGGAUGAUCAGCCACACUGGAACUGAGACACGGUCCAGACUCCUACGGGAGCACGCAGUGGGCACACUUGGACAAUGGGCGCAAGCCUGAUCCAGCCAUACCGCGUGGGAGAAGAAGGAAUUCGGGUUGUAAAGCCCUUUUGUUGGGAAAGACAAAAAACAGGUUAAUACCCCGCUGUUCUGACGGUACCCAAAGAAUAAGCACCGGCUAACUUCGUG